GCCGGGUGCAGUGGCGCGCGCCUGUAAUCCAAGCUGCUGGGAGGCUGAGGCUGGCGGAUCGCUUGAGUUCAGGGGUUCUGGGCUGCAGUGGACUAUGUCGAUCGGGUGUCCACGCUAAGUUCGGUAUCGAUAUGGUGCUCCUGGGGGAGCUCGGGACCACCAGGUCGUCUAAGGAGGGGUGAACCGGCCCAGGUCGGAGACGGAGCAGGUCAAAGCCCCCGUGCCGAUCAGUAGUGGGGUCGCGCCUGUGAAUAGACACUGCAGUGCAGCCUGAGCGAUACAGCGAGACUCAGACUUUU
ensembl:misc_RNA Metazoa_SRP Metazoan signal recognition particle RNA